rnacentral:rRNA from 1 species
AUGGCUUCCUCGCCCGAGCUCCUUCGCCAGCAUACUGCUCGCCUCAGCGCUGAGUUCGCCAUUAAGGACCUCGGCCCGUUGCACUACUUCCUCGGCAUUGAGGUGGUACGACGCGCCGAUGGGUUCUUCCUUCAUCAGCAGCAGUAUGCACGGGACCUUCUUGAGAGGGCGGGCAUGCUUAACUGCAAGCCCAUCCGCACGCCUAUCAACACGAAGGCCAAGGUCUCUGCGCUCGACGGCUCCCCCGCGCCAGAUGCAGCGUUCUACCGUUCCAUUGUCGGCGCUCUUCAAUACUUGACACUCACUCGGCCUAACCUGCAGUACGCCGUUCAGCAGGUGUGUCUCCAUAUGCACGCCCCUCGCGACACUCACUGGAACCUGAUGAAGCGGAUUCUUCGGUACAUCUGCGGCACCAUGACUCUGGGUCUUACGUUGACGGCUUCACCCUCGACUGACCUGGUCGCCUACAGUGACGCCGAUUGGGCUGGCUACCCGGACACGCGACGCUCGACUUCAGGCUACUGCGUCUACCUGGGGCCCUCGCUCAUAUCGUGGUCGUCUAAACAACAACCUACGGUAUCCCGCUCUAGUGCCGAGGCCGAGUAUCGUGUUAUGGCAAAUGCCGUCGCCGAGUGCUCGUGGCUUCGCCAGCUUCUCCAAGAGUUGCUCCUUGAUGUCCAGAAGGCCACCAUUGUCUACUGUGACAAUGUCUCCGCGGUCUACCUCUCCGCCAACCCCGUUCAUCAUCGUCGCACGAAGCACAUUGAGCUCGAUAUUCACUUCGUGCGAGAGCAGGUGGCUCUUGGGCGCGUCCGCGUUCUUCAUGUUCCCACCGCUCAACAGUUUGCCGAUGUCAUGACAAAGGGGUUACCGACGCCUACAUUUGAGGAGUUCCGGUCCAGUCUAUGUGUCACUAGUGACGCAUCGACUGCAGGGGUCUGUUGA